AUUGAACGCUGGCGGCAGGCUUAACACAUGCAAGUCGAGCGGAGUGAUGGUGCUUGCACUAUUACUUAGCGGCGGACGGGUGAGUAAUGCUUAGGAAUCUGCCAUUUAGUGGGGGACAACAUUCCGAAAGGAAUGCUAAUACCGCAUACGUCCUACGGGAGAAAGCAGGGGAUCUUCGGACCUUGCGCUAAAUGAUGAGCCUAAGUCGGAGUAGCUAGUUGGUGGGGUAAAGGCCUACCAAGGCGACGAUCUGUAGCGGGUCUGAGAGGAUGAUCCGCCACACUGGGACUGAGACACGGCCCAGACUCCUACGGGAGGCAGCAGUGGGGAAUCUUGGACAAUGGGCGGAAGCCUGAUCCAGCCAUGCCGCGUGUGUGAAGAAGGCCUUUUGGUUGUAAAGCACUUUAAGCGAGGAGGAGGCUCUCCUAGUUAAUACCUAGGAAGAGUGGACGUUACUCGCAGAAUAAGCACCGGCUAACUCUGUGCCAGCAGCCGCAGUAAGAC
rnacentral:rRNA from 1 species